UUAUCCGGGAUUUAUUGGGUUUAAAGGGUGCGUAGGCGGAUAGAUAAGUCAGUGGUGAAAUUCUGCAGCUUAACUGUAGACUUGCCGUUGAUACUGUCAGUCUUGAGUAUGGUCAAGGCAGGCGGAAUGUGUAAUGUAGCGGUGAAAUGCUUAGAUAUUACACAGAACACCGAUUGCGAAGGCAGCUUGCUGGGCCAUUACUGACGCUGAUGCACGAAAGCGUGGGGAUCGAACAGGAUUAGAUACCCUGGUAGUCCACGCCGUAAACGAUGAUCACUCGCUGUUGGCGAUACACAGUCAGCGGCUAAGCAAAAGCAUUAAGUGAUCCACCUGGGGAGUACGGCCGCAAGGCUGAAACUCAAAGGAAUUGACGGGGGCCCGCACAAGCGGAGGAACAUGUGGUUUAAUUCGAUGAUACGCGAGGAACCUUACCUGGGCUUAAAUGUAGAGUGCAUUGGUGAGAAAUCAUCAUUUUCUUCGGAACUCUCUGCAAGGUGCUGCAUGGUUGUCGUCAGCUCGUGCCGUGAGGUGUCGGGUUAAGUCCCAUAACGAGCGCAACCCUUAUCGUUAGUUGCCAGCGGGUAAUGCCGGGGACUCUAGCGAAACUGCCGGUGUAAACCGAGAGGAAGGUGGGGAUGACGUCAAAUCAGCACGGCCCUUAUGUCCAGGGCUACACACGUGUUACAAUGGCCGGUACAGAGGGCAGCUACCUGGAGACAGGAUGCGAAUCUCGAAAGCCGGUCUCAGUUCGGAUCGGAGUCUGCAACUCGACUCCGUGAAGCUGGAUUCGCUAGUAAUCGCGCAUCAGCCAUGGCGCGGUGAAUACGUUCCCGGGCCUUGCACACACCGCCCGU
rnacentral:rRNA from 1 species